rnacentral:rRNA from 1 species
ACGAACGCUGGCGGCGUGCCUAAUACAUGCAAGUUGAGCGAUGAAGAUUGGUGCUUGCACCAAUUUGAAGAGCAGCGAACGGGUGAGUAACGCGUGGGGAAUCUGCCUUUGAGCGGGGGACAACAUUUGGAAACGAAUGCUAAUACCGCAUAACAACUUUAAACAUAAGUUUUAAGUUUGAAAGAUGCAAUUGCAUCACUCAAAGAUGAUCCCGCGUUGUAUUAGCUAGUUGGUGAGGUAAAGGCUCACCAAGGCGAUGAUACAUAGCCGACCUGAGAGGGUGAUCGGCCACAUUGGGACUGAGACACGGCCCAAACUCCUACGGGAGGCAGCAGUAGGGAAUCUUCGGCAAUGGACGAAAGUCUGACCGAGCAACGCCGCGUGAGGGAAGAAGGGUUUCGGAUCGUAAAACUCUGUUGGUAGAGAAGAACGUUGGUGAGAGUGGAAAGCUCAUCAAGUGACGGUAACUACCCAGAAAGGGACGGCUAACUACGUG